rnacentral:tRNA from 1 species
GGGAUUAUAAUUUAAUAAAAAAUAUUUGAAUUGCAAUCAAACCUUACUUAAAUUAUAAAGUUAAUCUUA